GACGAACGCUGGCGGCGUGCUUAACACAUGCAAGUCGAACGGAAAGGCCCUGCUUUUGUGGGGUGCUCGAGUGGCGAACGGGUGAGUAACACGUGAGUAACCUGCCCUUGACUUUGGGAUAACUUCAGGAAACUGGGGCUAAUACCGGAUAGGAGCUCCUGCUGCAUGGUGGGGGUUGGAAAGUUUCGGCGGUUGGGGAUGGACUCGCGGCGUAUCAGCUUGUUGGUGGGGUAGUGGCUUACCAAGGCUUUGACGGGUAGCCGGGCUGAGAGGGUGACCGGCCACAUUGGGACUGAGAUACGGCCCAGACUCCUACGGGAGGCAGCAGUGGGGAAUAUUGUACAAUGGGCGGAAGCCUGAUGCAGCAACGCCGCGUGGGGGAUGACGGCCUUCGGGUUGUAAACCGCUUUCGCCUGUGACGAAGCGUGAGUGACGGUAAUGGGUAAAGAAGCACCGGCUAACUACGUG
rnacentral:rRNA from 1 species